rnacentral:lncRNA from 1 species
CUAUAUCAUAAGAUUAUAUACACAAAAGGAUUAUAAUGUUAUACAUGCCAUAUUCCCAAAAUAUGCAAGCCACCAUACCGAGAUGGUCCGUUGAUAGUGUGAGCUUGCCUCCGACCGUCCUGAUCUCCAAACCGGCUUGUCAGAACUAAAAGGAAUGGAAGGGAGGGAGUAAGCAUAAAUGCUUAGUAAGUUCAUAUGCAAAUAACAAAUAACUUAAAAAAGCAAUUAUACCAACCAACAUUAGCAUAAUAUCACCAAAACAUAUAUCACACUUCUAUUCAUCAUUCAUCGUCUUACUACAUUAUUGUUGUCGUAUCAAGUCUCAACCCGAGGGUUAAGUACAUACCUGUCCAAAGUGCCCAUUCUACAACACUUACCAAUACGUCACUUGCAUCUUGAGUAUUCUUCCAUUUCACUAGAAUUUUACCCAUUGAACACAUCGGAAUAUAACUCAGAUACAUGGAAAAUUUGCACAUAAGUGCCACAUACGUAGCCAAGCUACCAUGUAACCCGCCCAUAAGUGAACUCGGACUCAACUCAAUGAGCUCGGAUUCCUAGUUACAUCUCACGAACUCGGACUCAACUCAACGAGCUCGGAUGCCCAAAUAUCCUAAUCUAUUCCUAAGGUUCAACGGGACUUUCCUCGCCUUUACAAUUCUCCUUGGAAUACCAAUGACGAAACUUCGGUAGUCUUUCAUAUUUUUCACAUAAUUCACAAAAUUUUUGCAUGUUGUCCAACAAUGACCACAAAGCAUAGAAUUGCAUGAUAACAAUCAUAAUAUCGUAUAAUAGAAUUAAAUGAUUUAAAAUAAUGGUUAUAUUACAAUAUUUACAUAUAAACUUACCUCGAUACAAAAUGAGAAUAGUCGAGCCUAUUCCUCGUAAACUUUAUUUUUCCCCGAUCUAGAAUCGAAUCUCUUUUCUCUUGAUCUAUAAUACCAAAUUAAUUUAUUUAAUACACAGAUUCAUCAAAACAAUCCUUAAUACAAACUUUGGUAAAAUUACCAUUUUGCCCCUAUAUUUUCACAUAUUUACACUUUUGCCCUAGGCUCGUAAAUUAAACCUCAUCCUAUUUUCUUAUGUUUUAUGACAUGCUGGUCAUUUUUCCCUUCUAUAGCAACAUCAAAUUCACACUCUAACAUGUACUUAUGAAUAUUAGGUAUUUUUACCGAUUAUGUCAUUUUACUCGUUUUUACGAAAAAUCACUUAGCAAAAGUUGUUUAACAAAAUCUCAAACUUCAUAUUCUACCAUAAAACAUCAAAAUUCAUACAUAUCAUCCUUGGGUAAAAUUUUAAAUAUAAACACUAGCUCAAAAUAUUGGUAGAAAUAAUUAAACAGAGCUACAAGGAUUUCAAAAAUGUAAAGAACAUUAAAAACGGGCAUAGAAAUCACUUACAAUCAAGAAUUAAAAGUGUUGAAACCCUAGAUAUUAUGGAGAGCAAAAUUUGACAGCAUCUUAUGGAGAAGAUGAUCAUUUUUGUGUUAUUUUUCCCAUUUUAUUUCAUUUAAUAUUCAAAUGACCAAAAUGCCCUUCCUUACUAAACUUUCAAAAAUUCCAUCCAUGUCUAAUUUUUGUCCAUAAACUUAGAAAUUGGUAAAAUUGCUAUUUAAGACCUCCUAAUUAAUAUUUCAAAGCAAUUUCAUACUAGAAACUUCUAGAAUGCAAGUUUUGUAACUUAUUCAAUUUAGUCCCUAACUUCAAAUUAAGCACUUUAUGCAUAGAAUUUCUUCACGAAAUUUUCACACAAUCAUGCAAUCAUAUCAUAGACCUCAAAAUAAUCAUAAAAUAAUUAUUUCUAUCUAAUAUUUGUGUUCCCGAAACCACUAUUCUGAUUAGGCCCUAAUUCAGGAUAUCACAAAUUAAGUUUUUUACAGACGAGCUUACUAAGCUAUGAAGCUUACUUCGUGUUAUUUUUCUAUGUUUUAUAGUGAAUCAAGGCUAGCUCAGAUCUGGGAGUCAUCAGGAACAUCAUCACACUAUCAAACAUCUAAGUUGGUACUUUUGAAUUAUAAAUUUAUGGUAUAUGGCAUGUAUAGGCUAGAUGUGAUAUUUUGGUUGUGAUUAUAGCCAUAAGAUUUGGCUUAUAAAUGUUGUUAAUAUUGAUACGUGUUUGGCUAUUAGAAAUGGUUGUUAAUGAUUUUUGUAAGAUGUUUGUAAUGCCUUGUGAGAUGGUUUAUUUUGGCAUGGUUGUAACCAAGACAUUAUGAAAGUUAAAAUUGUUAUUUGAAUUAUAGUAGAUGAAAGCUUGAGAAAGGUCUUAUUGUGGCAUGAAUUUGUAUGUCAUAUUGGUAGUUAAGUAGUAUGUAAUACAAUGAAUGAAUUGAUUGAGUUGAGGAUUGUUUUCGGUUGUGAAUAUUAAGUUGGUAUAUAUACAUAUUGUAUGAAUUAAGGUUAAAGAUCAUGUUGUUUUGGUAUAUAUUUGAGUAAGUGAAAUGGUUGUAUUUGCAUAGCAUGAUUUGUGCAUGAAUUGGGAUUGAUUUGGCUGUCUUUUGUGUAUGGAAAUUGUACAUUUUGCCUUGUGUAGGUACAUUAAAGUUGGGGUGGCAAAUUGGCCUUGCAAAUGGCCUACUUUUGUCUACAAGGGCAGAGACAUGGGUGUGUGUCUCAGCCGUGUGCGACACAUGGUCAUGGUAUGCAGUCGUGUGUCCACUAAUGAUGCUUAGAAAUCAAGUCAGUGAGUUACACAGCCUAGACACACGGGCGUAUGGCUGGCCAUGUGGCCAAGUCAGUAUACCUUUUAGUUUUCACACAGCCUUACACACGGGCGUGUCCUCGGCCAUUUGACACAAUUCAGUAUGUAUAUCCUGUUUCCACACGACCAGAGACACGGGCGUGUCUGGAGCCGUGUGAGGCACAUAGCCUGUUCACAUGGGCAUGUAACCCCUGUAUUGUUGAAAUUUUUCUAAGUUUCUAAAAUUUUCAUAUGUUAUCGAUUUAGUCCUGAAUCACUUCUAAAGCAUGUUUAAGGUUUCGUAGGCCCUUAUAAGGGACAAAGUGUUUAUGAUUAAAUGGUAUUUGAGUAUGAAUGCAUAAAUGUAUAAGUUAUGUCUAUUAAAUGAUGUGUAUUGAUCGAUAAUACCUCGUAACCCUACUCCGACGAUGGAUACGGGUUAGGGGCAUUACAUUUUAUUGGUAUCAAAGCUACGGUUUAGUCGAUUCUAAGACUAAUGUAGCGUGUGUAAGAGUCUAGUUAUACAUGCCAUAUAUACUCUGCGAUAGUGUUAUAAUUCCUAACAGCUUAAAUUGUGUUUUCGUAUAGUAAUGGAUCCCGAACGAGCUGUAGCUGAUGAUGUAAAGAGUAAUGCACCCACUCCUACUCAAGGGGCAAGGCCAUCUGAUUCUAGGCCUGUAACGAGUAGCUACGAGGGAGAGGCUAAACAAGCCUUUUUCCAAAUGAUGAACGAGUGGUUCACGGUGUUUGUUCGAAUGAAUCCGGCUGCUCAACAACCUCCACCCCCACCUAUUCCUCAACAAAUCCUUGUUGUUCAUCAACGUAUAGAUCUGAUACGAUUGAGCAAGCCGCCAGUAGAUAAGAUUCGUAAAUAUGGGGCUGAAGAGUUCCGGGCUACUACUGAUUAUGAUGCUUAGAGAGCUGAGUUUUGGCUCAAAAAUACGAUUCGAGUAUUCAAUGAAUUGUCUUAUACUCCUAGUAAAUGUAUUAAAGGUGAUGUAUCUUUACUUAGAGACACCGUGCAUCAAUGUUGGAACACGUUGAUAUUUGUGUUUCCAAAAGAAUGGGUUACUUGGGAGUUCUUUCAAUCUGAAUUCUGAAAGAAAUACAUCAAUCAAAGAUUUCUUGAUCAAAAGCACAAAAAGUUUCUAGAAUUAAAAUAAGGCCGAAUGACUGUAACCGAGUAAAAAAGAGAAUUUAUACGGUUGAGUAAGUAUGCCAGAAAAUAUGUUUCUACUGAAGAGAUUAUGUGUAAGUGGUUCGUCAGCGAGUUGAACGAAGAUAUAAAACUACUAAUUGGAAUUAUAGAGUUGAAAGAAUUUGUCGUUUUGGUUGAAAGGGCUUGUAAAGCCGAGGAUCUUAGCAAAGAAAGGAGAAAAGCAGAUUCAGAAGCUAGAGACUCGAGAAAAAGAUCAAUGAGUAAGCCGUAUCAAUCUUUAGCAAAGAAAUCCAGAUAUUCGUACGCUCGCCCAAAUGCUUCAAACGAAUAUUCGAACAGAGAUCGUAAAAAAUAAUACUCAAGUUCUAAAGCUCAAGCUACAUCAGUAUCGAGUGUUGGAAGUGUGAGAGACAACAAACCUGAGUGUUAGUAGUGUGGGAGACGACAUUUUAGAGAAUGUUGGAAUAAAAGUAAUAAAGCUUGUUACAAAUGUGGUUCGCUAGAUCACUUCAUUCGAGAUUGCCCUGAGCUAGAUUAGAAAGAUAAAGUUCAGAAUGUGAGACCAGGUAACAUGUUGAAUAGAGGUAGACCACUUAGAAUUAUCAGAAAUGUAAGUGGUAGUAGAAGGGAAACAAAGGAUUCAGCUGUGAGAUACGAGGCCAAAGCAUUUGCUAGAGCUUAUACUAUUCACGCUCGCGAAGAAGCACCAUCUCCAGAUGUUAUCACCGGUACUUUCACUCUCUAUAAUACUAAUGUGAUUGCAUUGCUAGAUCCAAGAUCAACUCAUUCUUAUAUAUGUAUGAAUUUAGUAUCUAGUAAGACUUUACCUGUAGAGUCUAUUGAAUUUGUGAUUAAAGUAUCAAACCCCUUAGGCAAAUGUGUUUUGGUUGAAAAAAUUUGAAAGAAUUGUCUGUUAAUAAAUUGGGAUUUCUAUUUUUUGGCUAAUCUGAUGUUGUUUCCAUUUGAUGAAUUGAUGUGAUUUUGGGUAUUAAUUGGCUAACGAUGCAUGAUGCUAUAGUGAAUUAUAGACGAAAGAUAAUUAAACUGAAAUGUCAGAAUAAUGAAACUAUUAAAAUUGAAUCUGACGAUCUGAAUAGUUUGCCAGUUGUGAUCUCGUCAAUGUUAGCUCAGAGAUUUGUGAGAAAGAGGUGUGAAGAUACAAAAGUGAUAAAAACAAAGAUGGAAUUAGUACCAAUUGUGUGCGAGUAUCUAGAUAUAUUUCCCAAAGAGUUACCGGGUUUACCACUUAUCAGAGAGGUUGAGAUUGGUAUUGAAUUAGUACCAAGAGUAAUGCCGAUAUCGAUAGCUUCGUAUAUAAUAGCUCCAACAGAGUUAAAAAAAUUGAAAGCUCAAUUGCAAAAGUUGACAAAUAGAGGUUUUGCUAGAUCGAGUUUCUCUUUCUGGGGUGCACUAGUGUUAUUUGUGAAAAAGAAAGAUGUCACGAUAAGAAUGUGUAUAGAUUAUCGACAGCUCAAAAAAGUGACGAUCAAGAGUAAAUACCCCUUUCCACAAAUAGAUGAUUUAUUUGAUCAGUUAAAAGGAGCAACAGUGUUUUCGAAAAUUGAUUUGAGAUCGGGCUAUUACCAGUUGCGAGUUAAAGACUCAGAUGUGCCAAAGACUGCAUUUAGAACAAGGUACUGACACUACAAAUUUCUUGAUAUGCCUUUCGGACUAACAAAUACACCUGCUAUUUUUAUGGACUUGAUGAAUCAGAUUUUCGGCCGUACUGAGACCAAUUCGUAGUUAUAUUUAUUGAUGAUAUUUUGAUUAACUCUCGUAAUGAAUCUGAGUAUGCCGAGCAUUUGAGAAUUGUGUUACAAACUUUGAGAGAUAAAAAAAUGUUUGCAAAGUUCAGUAAAUGUGAGUUUUGGUUACGAGAGGUUGGUUUUCUAAGACAUAUAGUUUCACCCGCGGCUAUCUGAGUUGGCUCGAGCAAAAUUACUGCGAUUAUAGAUUUGAAGCCUCCGAGAAAUGUAUCCAAAGUCUGUAGUUUUCUGGGACUAGCUAGCUAUUAUAGAUGAUUUGUGAAAGGCUUCUCGAUGAUUACGACUCUGAUGACAUGAUUGCUUCAAAAAGAUGUUAAAUUUGAGUGGUCAAAAAAGUGUCAGCAGAGCUUCGAGCAGCUGAAAGCAUUAUUGAUAGAGGCACCACUGUUAGUUCAGCCUGAGUCGGGUAAAGAAUUUGUAGUUUUCAAUGAUGCAUCGUUAAAUGGCCUGGGUUGUGUUUUGAUGCAAGAAGGCAAAGUUGUAGCUUAUGCCUCGAGAUAGUUGAAGCUGCAUAAAAAGAAUUAUCCGACGCACGAUCUAGAGUUAACUGUGAUAGUGUUCGCAUUGAAAAUUUGGCGUCAUUACUUGUUUGGUGAGAAAUGCCAUAUUUAUACCGACCAAAAAAGCUUGAAAUAUCUGAUGACUGUGAAAGAUUUGAAUUUGCGAUAGCAGAGAUGGUUAGAAUUGCUAAAAGACUAUGAAUUAGUGAUUGACUAUCAUCUAGGGAAAACAAACAUAGUUGUUGGUGCUUUGAGUUGAAAGUCUUUAUUUGCUUUACGUGCUUUGAACACACAGUUAUCUUUGUCUGACGAUGGUUCGAUAGUAGCCCAGUUGAAAGCGAGUCCGUUAUUUCAACAGCAGAUUUGUGAGGCUAAAAAAUUUGAUAAUGAAUUGAAAGUAAAACGAGCUCAAUGUGAGUCGAAUUUUGAUUCAAAGUUUCGAAUAGGGCCUGAUGACUGUUUAAUGUUUCAUGAUAGAAUAUGUUUACCAAGAAAUUUUGAGCUCAUUUGGAAAAUUCUAAGUGAAGCACACAGUAGUUGUUUAUCAGUACAUCUGGGAAGCACAAAAAUGUAUAACGAUUUGAAACAGUUUUAUUGGUGGCACGGCAUGAAAAGAGAUAUCUCAGAAUUUGUUUCCAAAUGUUUGAUUUGUUAGUAAGUCAAAGUUUAGCAUCAAGUGCCAUCAGGUUUAUUACAGCCUAUUAUGAUUCCUGGGUGGAAGUAGGAUAAAGUAAAAAUGGAUUUCGUAUCGGGUUUGCCCUUAUCUCCGAAAAAGAAAAAUGCGAUGUUGAUAGAUUGACAAAAUCAACUCAUUUGAUAUCAGUACGUAUAGAUUUCUCGCUUGAUAAAUUAGCUGAGUUGUAUAUUUUCAAAAUUUUGAGAUUACAUGGUGUUCCCCUAUCUAUUGUUUCAGAUAGAGAUCCAAGAUUUACUUUGCAAUUUUGGAAAAAUUGUAAGAAGCUUUGGGUUCAAGGCUGCAUUUUAGAACUGCAUUUCACCCGCAAAUGGAUGGUUGCAUUCUUGAGUUUUGAAGGUAGCUGGGAAAAAUAUCUACCGCUGAUUGAAUUUACUUAUAAUAAUAGCUUCCAAUCGAGUAUAAAGAUGGCACCGUACAAAGCUCUAUACGGUCGUAAAUGUCGAACACUGUCGUACUAGAGUGAGCUCAACAAAAACAAGAUUCAUGGGAUUGAUCUGAUCAGAGAGACUGAAGAAAAAGUGAAAGUAAUUCACGAUAGUUUGAAAGCAGCUUCAGAUCGAAAAAAAUCGUACGCAGACUUCAAACAGAAAGAUAUUGAGUUCCAAAUCGGGGAUAAAGUGUUUUUGAAAGUGUCACCGUGGAAAAAGAUAUUGCGGUUUGGUUGGAAAGGGAAAUUGAGUCUGCGAUUCGUCGAACAGUAUGAGAUUACUGAUCGAGUUGGGCCAGUGUCGUAUCGACUAUCUUUACCAUCUAAGUUAGAGAAAAUACAUAAUGUAUUUUAUGUGUCGAUGCUUCGAUGAUACCAAUCUGACCCUUCACAUGUAAUUUUCCUGAUCGAGGUUGAAAUUCAAUCUGAUAUGUCAUAUACUGAAGAACCGAUUCGAAUUUUAGCUUGUGGGAUCAAAGAGCUGAGAAAUAAAAGAAUUGCAUUAGUGAAAGUAUUAUGGCAUCGACACGGGGUUGAAGAAGCUACAUGGGAACCUGAGGAUGCUAUGAGAAAACAUUGCUCGAACCUAUUCACAGGUAUGAUUUUCGGGGACGAAAAUUCCUAAAGAGGGAGAGUUGUAAUAGCCCGAUUUUAGCUAAAUCAGAAUAGUGGUUUUAGAACCACAAAUUGGAUGUCAAAAAAUUAUUAUAAUAUUAUUUUCAGUAUUUACAGCAUGUUGUUUGAUAUGUGUGAAAAUUUCGUGAGCUAAUUUUAUCUUUCGGAUGUUUAAUUUGAUAAAAGGACUUAAUUGCGUAAAAUAUAAAAGUUGUAUCCUAUUUGUUUAAAGUGCUUAAUUGCUAUGAUUAAUUAAAUUAAAAGUCCUUACGAUGAUAUUAGACCAUUGGUAGUAUUAAUGGACAAUUAUGGCCAUCCAUUAUAUGUAUUUAUAUGUUUAUAACAAAGAUUAUUAUGGUAAAUUAGUAAUUAAUUUAAUAAAAAUAUAAAAAAACAUGAUUUUUGUUCAUCCUUUUUGCCAUUGCCAAAAUUCCAAGGUGAAAAACACCAUUUUUAUGCAUAUUAGGGUUCGGCAUCUUCAUAGCUUAAUUGGUAAGUGUUUUGAGCUCGAUUUUUGAUGAUUUUUACGUUUUUGAGAUCGUUGCUUCGUAUUCUAGCUAGCUCGUACCUUUAAUUUUGAAACUGUUAAAGAUUUUGAGAAUUUCCAUUGUUCAAUCUAUGAGUUCAUUGAUGUUUAAUGUUGAAAUAUGAAAGCUUGAUGAUAGUUUUACAUGUUUUGUUAAGUGAUUUUUGAUGAAAAUGCAUAAUAGAGAUUAAAUUGUGAAAUAUGCAAAUUGUGUGGUUGAAAUGUGAAAUAAAUGAAAAUUUUGGGCUACUAAGGACCUAUAUAUAAUUUGGCCAAGCAUGAGUUUUGUUGAAUGAUGUGAAUUUUAUGUAUUUGUGAAAUAGGGACUAAAUUGAUUAAAUGCGAAAGUUGAGGAGCUAAUGUGUAAAAAUGCCCAAAUGUGUAUUUUUGGAUUAAUUGAAUGAGUAAAUGAAUAAAUAAAUUAAUUUUGAACUCAUAUAGAUCAAGAAAGAAAGAAUUUUGGUUUAGAUCGGGGGAAAAACAAGGUUAUCGAGUAGUCGACUCGAUCCGCCAAUUCCGAAUACUAGAUAAGAGUGUAUGUGAUGAUUACAUUAUAAAUGUAUGUUAAAAUGCUUUAAUAUUGCAUAAAUUGUUAAAACGGGAUUAUGGAUAAUGUAUGAAUUGUGGAAACGAUUCUAGGAAUACAUUCGAUGAUAGAAACGAAAAGUGUGAAAGCUGGUUGAACCUUAAGAAUAGUUUUAGAUACUAUUGAUUUGUCAGUAAGUGAUACGUUGAGUUGGCUUUGGGCCAUGCUAUUAGCGCUUCGGGUGCGUAUUUUACUGACUUGGCUUCGGUCCAUGCAUAUCGGAUGAUUUGGCUUCGGGCCAUAAUAAUAGUUCUUCAGAAUAAUUACCUGGAUUUGGCUAAGGGCCAUGGUAUAGGUACUUAUUGUACGAGACUCUUGAGUAUCCGAUUUCUAUUCUGAAUGGUUCAAUGGGUAAACAAAUGAUGAAGUUGAGAAAGAGGUUUGUAUGAGGUGAUACAGGUAUGUGCAGAACCUAUUCAAGUAUUAAAUAGUGAAAGUUCGAUGAGUUUGUUGUUAUUUCGUGUUAUUUUUCUAUGUUUUAUAGUGAAUCAAGGGUAGCCCAGAUCCGAGAGUCGUCGGGAACAUCAUUGCACUAUCAAACAUCUAAGUUGGUACUUUUGAAUUAUACAUUUAUGGUAUAUGGCAUGUAUAGGCUAGAUGUGGUAUUUUUAUUGUGAUUAUACCAUGAGAUUUGGCUUGUAAUGAUUUGUGUAAGAUGUUUGUAAUGCCUUGUGAGAUGGUUUAUUUUGGCAUGGUUGUAACCAAGACAUUAUGGAAGUUAAAAUGGUUAUUUGAAUUAUGGUGGAUGAAAGCUUGAGAAAGGUCUUAUUGUGGAAUGAAUUUAUAUGUCACAUUGGUAGUUAAAUAGUAUGUAAUACAGUGAAUGAAUUGAUUGAGCUGAGGAUGGUUUUCGGUUGUGAAUAUUAAGUUGGUAUAUAUAUACAUAUUGUAUAAAUUAAGGCUAAAGAUCAUGUUGUUUUGGUAUAUAUUUGAGUAAGUGAAAUGGUUGUAUUUGUAUUGCAUGAUUUGUACAUGAAUUGGGAUUGAUUUGGCUAUCCUUUAUGUAUAGAAAUUGCACAUUUUGCCUUGUGUAGGUACAAUGAAGUUGGGGUGGCAAAUUGGCAUUGUAAAUGGCCUAUUUUGUCCACAUGGGCGUGUGUCUUAGCAUUGUGUGACAUACGGUCAUCGUAUACGGCUGUGUGUCCCCUGAUGAUGCUUAGAAAUCAAGUCCGUGAGUUACAUGGCCUAGACACACGGGCGUGUGGUCGGCCGUGUGGCCAAGUUAGUAUACCCUAUAGUUUUCACACGGCCUGAUACACAGGCGUGUUCUCGGCCAUGUGAUACAAGUCAGUAUGUAUGCCCUGUUUCCACAUGGCCUGAGACAAGGGCGUGUUUGGAGCCGUACGAGGCACACGGCCUGUUCACACGGGCAUGUGACCCUUGUAUAGUUGAAAUUUUUGUAAGUUUCCAUCAUAUGUUAUUGGUUUAGUCCUGAAUCACUUCUAAAGCAUGUUUAAGGCCUCAUAGGCCAUUAUAGGGGACAAAAUGUUUGUGAUUAAAUGGUAUUUGAGUAUGAAUGCAUAAAUGUAUGAGUUAUGUAUGUUAAAUGAUAUGUAUUGAUCGAUAAUACCUCGUAACCCUACUCUGGCGACUGAUACGGGUUAGGGGCGUUACAAUGUAUGUCAAAAACUCUAACAAAAAAGUUGUAUAUGAAGCAGCGUCUUUAUGCUCAUUGUUUGGAGGAAGGUGUGUCUGUGCACGGACAUUGAAAAGUGUUUAAAAAAAUUCUCUCAAACUUGGAGGCCAUGAAGGUUCAAUAUGAUAAAGGAGAUCUAAGGUUGAUUCUACUUUGUUUGUUACCCUCGUCUUAUUCAACCUUUAGAGACACGAUUUUAUACAGUCGCGAGUCUCUCACAGUUGAUGACGUUUAUGAUUCUUUGACCUCAUAUGAUAAGAUGAAGCAUCUUGUCGUUAAACCCAACUCUCAGGGAGAGGGUCUCAUUAUUCAUGAAAGAUAAGAUCGGAAUGUUGAUGAUGAUCAUGGAAGGACAUAGGACCUGAAUUCUCAUGGUAAAUCUAAGGGUAGAUCGAAGUCUUCAAACAGAGGUAAAACUUGUAACUUCUGUAAGAAGAAAAGGCACAUUAAAUCUGAGUGAUAUAAGCUACAUAACAAGAUCAUAAGAGAGGCUAUGAAUAAAAAGGGAAAACAACUAGAAAAAUCUAGUGAAGCUGAUGUUGUAGAAGACUAUAGCGAUGGUCAACUUCUAGUCGCUUCUGUCAACAAUUCUAAAGUGAGUGAAUAGUGGAUUCUUAAAUUGAGUUGCACCUUCCACACGAGUCCCAAUCGGGAUAGUUUACAACUUACGAAAUAGUGUUUAAAUGUGUUAUUUUGAUGGGAAAUAAGAUUUUGUGUAAAAUUGCAAGUGUUGGAACAAUUAGAGUUAAGAUGUUUGAUGGAGUUGUUAGAGCACUUAAUGAUGUGGGACUUGUUACAGAAUUGAAGAGAAAUUUGAUUUCGUUGAGUAUUCUUGAUUCAAAAUGGUACAAAUACACAGCUAAAAGUGGGGUUUUGAAAAUUUCUAAAGGUUCCCUCGUUAUGAUGAAAGGGUAGAGAAAAACUGCCAAGUUAUAUGUUUUGUAGGGUUCCAGUAUUACUAGUAAUGCAGCUAUCACUUCCUCUUCCUUGUCAGAUGAUGAUGUUACUAGACUUUGGCAUAUGCGCCUAGGGCAUAUAAAUGAGAAUGGCAUGGUAGAAUUGAGAAAAAGAGGACUUUUUGAUGGGCAAGAAAUUUUCAAACUGAAGUUCUGUGAGCAUUGUGUUUUUGCGAAGCAAAAGAGAGAGUUUGAUUCACUAGAGGAAUCCAUAACACAAAGGGAACAUUGGAGUAUAUUCAUUCUGAUCUGUGGGGGCCAUCCAAAGUGCCUUCGAGAGAUAGAGCUAAUUAUAUGCUAACUUUUAUUGAUGAUUUUUCUAGAAAAGUUUGGGCGUUCUUCCUAAAGUAGAAAAGUAAUAUGUUUUUCGCAUUUAAGUCUUGGAAAACUAUGGUUGAAAAACAAACAGGAAAACAAAUAAAACACCUCCGCACAGACAAUGGCUUAAAGUUCUAUUCUAAUGAGUUUAAUAAGCUGUGCGGGUCAGAAGGGAUCGUGAGACACUUGAUAGUUCGUCAUACUCCACAACAAAAUGAUGUUGCGAAACGAAUGAAUAGAAUGAUCAUAGAGAAAAUUCAAUGUAUGUUGUCAAAUGCUAACUUACCGAAGUCGUUUUUGGUUGAAGCAAAUUUUACUACAUAUUUUUUGAUCAACUGAUCUUUAUCUAUUGCUAUUGAGAAAAAGACUCCACAAGAGGUACGGUCUGGUAUUCCUACUGAUUAUUCUGGUUUAAAGAUCUUUGGGUGUCUUGCGUGUGCUCAUGUUGAUAAUGGAAAAUUGGAACCGAGAUCCAUUAAAUGUGUUUUUCUUGGUUAUAAAGCUGCUGUAAAAGGGUAUAAGUUAUGGUCUCUUGAAAAUAGAAAAGUAGUGAUUAGCAGAAAUGUUGUUUUUAAUGAAACUGUUAUGCUACCUAACUUAUCUUUUAAGGACUCUUCCAAUAAAGAUCAUCAAAAGUAGGUGGAGCAUCAGAUUAUUCGAAAUCUACAACAGAGUCGACUCCUCAAGCCAGUAUAGAAAUUCAGAAUAGAGUUACUUCUUCACCACAAUACUCUAUCGACAAAAAUAGAAUUAGAAGAGAAAUUAAACCUCCAAAGAAGUAUGCCGAGGCUGAUCUAGUUGCUUAUUCUUUAAAUGUGGCUAAAGAUAUAAAUGCAAACCAAGAGCCAUCUAAUUAUUCUAAGGCGGUAAGCUGUGAAGACUCAGAAAAGUGGACGUCUGCUAUGCAAAAGGAGCUAGAAUCACUCCACAAAAACAGAACAUGAGAUCUUGUGAAACUUGCUAAAAGUAAAAAUGUUGUUCGUUGUAAAUGAGUGUUUAAAAAGAAAGAGGGGACUCUAGGAGUUGAAUAACCCAGAUAUAAAGUGCAAAGGGUUAUACUCAAAUUCCAAGAGUGGAUUUCACAGAUUUGUUCUCCCUAGUUGUGAAGCAUAGUUCGAUUCGAGCUUUGCUUAGUAUUGUAGCCAUGCAUGAUUUGGAGCUUGAGUAGUUAGAUGUAAAAACUACAUUUUUGCAUAGAGAACUUGAGGAGGAUACUUACAUGUAAUAAUCAGAGGGUUUUACAGUCUCAGGAAAAGAGAACUAUGUUUGCUUGAUGAAAAACUCCUUUUACGGUUUGAAAUAGUCACCAAGACAAUGGUACAAGAUAUUUGAUUCCUUUAUGACUUCUCAUGAUUUCCAAAGAAGUAGCUUUGACAAUUGUGUUUAAUUUAAGAAAAAUAGUGAUGGUUCUAUUUUGUAUCUAGUCCUUUAUGUUAAUGAGAUGUUGAUAGCAGCGAAAGAUACAGGAGAGAUAAGAAAGGUCAAAGCCUAACUAGGUGAAGAAUUUGAAAUGAAAGAUUUGAGAAGAAGAUACUUAGUAUGAAGAUUCUCAGAGAUAGAAAAAUAAGUAAAUUAUACCUAAGUCAGAAGGGGUACAUUGAGAAAGUUCUUUACAGGUUCAAUAUGCAGAGUGCUAAGCCUGUUAGUAUUCCUUUAGUAGCCCAUUUCAGGCUCUUAUCGGCUUGUCUCCACAAACAGAUUAUGAGAUUGAGUACAUGUCACAUGUUUCAUAUUCUAGUGCAGUGGGAUCUCUCAUAUAUGUUAUGGUUUGUUCACGUCCAGAUUUAUCAUAUGCAGUUAGUGUAGUUAGCAGAUACAUGUCGUAUCUCGGUAAAGAACACUGGAAAGCCAUUUUGCUUACAGUCAAUUAAGAUACUUACGAGGUACUACUGAUGUUUGCUUAUAGUUUGGAAGAACUAGGGAUGGAGUCAUUGGAUAUGUUGAUGCUGAUUUUGCUGGAGAUCUUGAUAGAAGAUCUCUCACAGGUUAUAUCUUUACAAUUGGAGGUUGUGCAAUCAGUUGGAAAGCCAUUUUGCAAACUACAGUCGCUUUGUCUACCACUGAAGCCAAGUACAUGGUGAUUACUGAGGCUUGUAAAGGAGCAAUUUGCUUGAAGGGACUCUUUAGUGAACUCAAUGAAGACCUUCAAAUCAGUACAAUAUUUUGGGAUAGUCAAAGUACUAUCUUCCUUACAAAAGAUCAAAUGUUUCAUCAGAGAAUAAAACACAUUGAUAUUCGGUAUCAUUUUAUUCAUGAUAUUAUUGUUCGUAGUGAUAUUGUUUGUGAGCAAAAUUAGUACUCAUGAAAAUCCUACAGAUAUGAUGACUAAGUCACUUCCCAUAAAUAAAUUUGAGCAUUGCUUAGACUUGGUUGGUGUUCAUUGUUAAAAGUUAAGCCCUUAAGGGGUUUUGAUGGAAGAGGUAGAGAACUUGUUCGUUGAGAGUUAGCGAUGAAGAACUUGUUCGUUGAGAAUUCGUGUCAAGGUAGAGAUUGUUAGAAUUGAGUGACCCGAAUCCUUAUUUAAAUAAAAUAAAGUGGUAAAAUAAAAUAAAAGUGAAAUCCAUAUAGAACUACACUUCUUUUAUUUUAUUUUAGAAUAAGGUUUUUAAACUUUAUUAAAUUAUAUCUAUUUGAUAUUGAUUAGAAUAAUGUGUUUCAAUCUUACUACACUCUUUUUAUUAGAAUAUGGUUUUACAAGCCUAUAAAUAGCCACAGUUUACUCCUCUUAUAAUUAUUUGAAUUUAAUAUAGUAAAUUAUUUUCUCCUUUACAUGUGGUUUUUUCUCGAAAGUGUUUCCAUGUAAAAUCUAUUUGCUCUUUAUUUUUUCUUUCUCUUUUUUUUUUUACGAUACAUUGUCAUUAUCGAUAUUCUAUUUUUCACAUAAUCACUUAAUGCCAAACUUUUAUCUUAAAAAAAAAUUUCCACGCUAAAGCAUGUGGAAUUAAUGAUAUAGUAUGGCAAUAGGUUUGGCCCUUUCUGACUUACUCCCUUUACCACUUUAUAUAAACACUAUCGAAAGAGUGAUUUAAUUAUUUUUAUUCCAAGCCAAGAAUUACGAACAGUCUUUUAGCGGUAUUGGGAAGACCACAGAGGAUUAUGACUUAUCAACCACUUUGAAUAUGAGUAUAACUAAUGAUAUUGGAUUUGUUUGCUGUUUGGUACGCUCUGUUUUUUAUCCUUUCAUUUAAUCCUUUUGUUUUCUUUUGUAUUUGUGUUUCUUUCGCACUGAUUUUGGUAUCUAUCAAGUAGUUUGUUUUCUUUAUUGGGUGGGGGUUAGGAAUGGAGAGAGGUUUGGCUAAUCUGAGUUUGGAGGAUGGAGAAUAGGAGGCCCUUUCUAUCCCAGUUGAGGUUUUGGUGGGAUGCUUCUUAACAGCUAGUGUUGUUAAUUUCCCAGCCAUGAGGAAUACGUUGGCAAACAUCUGGCACCCCUUUGAGGGUGUGAAAAUUUCAGAUUUGGGUGAAAAACAUUUUCUUUUCAUAUUUUUGAAUGAAGUUGAUAUCCAUCGUGUUCUUAUAGGAUCCCCUUGGACCUUCAAUAAUCACCUCUUGAUUUCCCAUAGGAUACAGGAGAAUGAGGAUUCUUUGUCCAUUCCUCUGGUUUACUCUGAUUGGUGGGUUCAGAUUCACGAUCUGCCACCAGGAUUUUUUAGGGAAUCUGUGGCAGUGCAAUUUGGAAACUUCAUUGGUAAAUUUCUGGAAUAUGAUAUGAAGCAGCUAUCGAAUGGCUAUAAAAUUUUUCUUCGUAUUCAUGUUCAGAUUGAUGUUAGAAAGCCGCAGAAAUGAAGGAAGAAAAUUAUGAUUUCUGAAUCCAAUUCAAAAACGAAAUGCUAACUUUGUUUUGUUUCUUGUGUAGGUGUCUUCGCCAUAGAGAUAGUUUUUUUCCUGAUGAGACUACAAUGUGGAAUACAAGAAAUGGAAAUGGGUUGGGAUUUGACAUUGAGGUCCCAGCCGCGGGGAGCCACCACAAUCAAUAGCGUCUGGCUAAGGGAGGAGGGUGAAAAUAAUUUUUUGGAAAGAAUAGAGUUGAGUAGCAAUUGGGCCAAAAUUCAAGGAACAAUUAUGAGAGAAGAUCAUGGGUUGAUUGUAAUUAUUUUCUUGGAGUUAAUCUGGAAGGAUCCAAAUUUAAAUUUUAUCACAGUAAAAGGCAAGAAUCACGACUCAUUAUUCGAGGAGAUUUGCUGCCAUGCAAAGGUCAACAGCUGGAGACCAAUUUGAAUUGUGGGGAAUUAAUUAAGGGAUCGAAGGAUGUGGGACCUGCUAAUGGGUAGAUCUAUCAAAAAUGGAUUGUGAGCUGGAAGACAAUCCUAUUGCUAGUGAUGAAGGAAAGAAAAGACAAAGGUUUGUCUCUUUGACUUCUAAUGUUUCCAUUAUUCUGAAUUCGUUUGAAGUUGCUGAUGGGCAAUCUGCCCAUUUUAAAAUAUUAUUGGCGGCUGCCAGUGGGUAUGCCUACCGGAAGAAAUAAAAAAUUUUUUGUUGGAGUGCUCACAGAUUGGGGAGUCUGGGAGCAGUUAGAAGACUUCAGCAUAUGCUGAAAAUUUAUCCACCCCAAAUCGUCUUCUUUGUAGAGACAAAAUUGAAUGUUGCUAAAAUGGAAGUUGUUAAGAGAAGGUGUGGUUUUUUUAAUGGUAUUGAUGUACCUAUAGAAGGGACUUGGGGGGUCUUAGUAUUGGAUCGAAUGGGGGCCAGUUAGUUAAUUUGAAGAGUUUCUCCAAAAAUCACAUUGAUAUUGAAAUGCAAGAGGAGGAAGAAAAUCAUCGAUGGAGAUUUAUGGGAUUUUACGGGGCACUGGAUGUAAGGGAUAAAGUCGCAACGUGGGAUUUGUUACGUUGUCUAGGGAGUAAUAAGUCGCUCUUAGAGAGAAAGCUAGAAUGGAGGCUUUUAGUUGGAAUUUGGAGGAUUUUCAUUUGGAAGAUAUUGGAUAUUCUGGGAUAUGGUUCACUUGGGAAAGGGGGCGUCUAUUGGAAAAUAUCAUAAGAGAGAGAAUUGAUAGAGGAGUUGCCAUAGAUGCAUGGAUUCAACUUUUUCCGAAUUAUUCCUUGAGGCACCUUCCUUAUUCUUUUUUAGACCACUAUCCAUUGCGUCUUGAGACAGAGGUUGGGGGUUUACGUAAAAAACUUAGAAAGUUUCAUUUUGACGUGUGGUGGGUUUUGGAAGAGUCCUGCGAGAAUGAAGUAAGAAGGUUAUAGAAUGGUGGCUCAGGUUCUUUUAUUAGUCGACUUUUAUUUCAUUCUAAAGGGCUGCAGAGCUAAGGGGUGAGAUUAAACAAAGAAGAGGGUGUGAUGUCCAACAAUUAACAAAAAGACUGGAAGAGUUAACUUUUUCUGAGGUUAAGGAUGAAUAUUUGGCUGAGGUUAAGGAUGAAUCUUUGGCUGAGUUGGUUGAUGUCAAAGUACACAUUAACGUGGAGAUGGAUAAGGAGGAGAGAUAUUAGAACAACGAGCUAGGGUGAAUUGUUAAAAAAUAGGGAUCAGAACACCUCGCUCUUUCACAAAUAUGCUUCUCAAAGAAGGUGUACAAAUCACUUUCGUGGAUUGUAAAGGAGGGAUGGCUCGAUGGCCACUGAUAGUAUCGAGAUCGGGGAAAUUGCUCGCGACUAUUUUUCAGACUUAUUUGAUUUUAGAGGAAUCGACAAUUUGGAUCAUAUUCUUUCAAGGGUCUCAUGUUGUAUUAAUGAUAGUAUGAAUCAAAGUCUUACAGCUAUCUACACAAAAGAGGAAAUUGAGAAGGCUUUAAAAGGUAUGGGGCCUAUAAAAGCUGCUGCUCAGAUGGUUUUCCUACUAUUUUCUUCCAGAAGUACUGGUAUAUUAUAGGUAAUGAUACUAGCACAUUCUUCUUGGAUAUUCUGAACAAUGGAAGAUCACUGGUAGACAUCAAUAGUACUCACUUGGUUUUAAUCCCAAGAACUACAAAUCCUCUCAAUUUGAAGAAUUUUUGCCCUAUUAGCCUAUGUACCGUAAUCUAUAAGAUUAUUGUAAAGACGGUGGCAAAUCGAUUACAGGAAGUGCUAGAUGACUAUAUGAUGAAGCUCAAAGCAUAUUUUUACUGGGUAGACUUAUUACUGACAAUGUGGUGCUGGCUUAUGAGGUUCUUCAUUCUUUCAAGAAUAAAAGAUGUGGGCGAAAAGGUUUUAUAGCCCUGAAGCUGGACAUGAGUAAGGCGUAUGAUCGUGUGGAAUGGCUUUUCAUUCAAGGCAUGAUGUUAAAAUUGGGUUUUGCUAAUUCUUUUGUUGAUAUUAUCCUACAUUGUAUUAGGUUAGUUCUCUAUUCUAUUUUAAUUAAUGGUGAAGAAGGCUCAAGCUUCACUCCUUCGCGAGCGCUGAGGCAAGGGGAUCCUCUAAGCCCUUAUUUAUUUUUGUUUUGUGGGAGGGCCUUUCUGCAUUGAUGAAACUUGCUAGCCGGGAAAAGAGAAUUCUAGGGGCUAAGGUAUGUAGGUCUUCCCCUCCUAUUAACCACCUUAUAUUUGCAGAUGAUUGUAUUCUUUUUAGUGAGGUUUCUGAUAGGGGGAUCAUGGUGCUCAAAGAUAUUCUUAGAGAGUACGAAUCUUGUUCGAGGCAAUGUGUAAACAUUGAAAAAUCUACAGCUUUUUUCAGUUCAAAUGUGACUGAUCAUGAUAAGAAUCUGGCAUUCCAGACUCUUAACAUUCGCUGUGCGACACAGCCUAAAAAAUAUUUGGGGCUUCCAAACAUGAUGGGACGAAGUACGAAAAUGGAUUUCCAGGUUUUGAAGGACAGAUUGAAGCAGAAGAUGAAUAAUUGGAGUGUUAGGUAUAUCUCUCAAGGUGGCAGGGAGGUAUUUAUAAAAGCUGUUUUACAAGCAAUUCCAACUUACUCGAAUUAUUAUUUUCUUUUUCCAAAAAAUUGUGUUGAAAUGGAAAACUUAAUUAGUGCGUUUUGGUGGCUAAAAAGUUUUGGUAAGAGAGGGAUGCAUUGGUGUGAUUGGAAGUCGUUAUGUUUGCUUAAGGAAAAGGGUGGUAUGGGGUUUCAUAAUUUGAAUCUUUUUAAUAUUGCUUUACUCACCAAACAGGGUUGGAAAUUAUUACGUAAUCCUGACUCUUUACUAGUGCGUACGUUGAAAGUAAAAUAUUUUAAAGACUCAGAUUUUCUUAAUGCCAGAUUAGGAAAUUUGCCUUCUCUUACCUGGAAAAGCAUUUGGACUGCUAAAGGACUUCUUCAAAAGGGCUUGGGCUGAAGGAUUGGGGACUGGAAGAUUGUCUCUAUCUGGAGAGACGCGUGGGUACCUGGCAGUGUGGAUUUCAGAGUUCAAAGUAUGAAUGUAAAUUCAGGGUUUCGAUAGUAGCAGACUUGAUUGAUGUUAAUUCAAGAAAGUGGAAUGUUGAGCUUAUUCGCAAUACCUUUGAGGAGAUGGAUGCAUAAAGAAUUCUUUGUAUCCCAUUGUCUAUGCAUCCGCAUGAGGAUCUCUUAGUAUGGACUAGUGAGUUGACUGGGGAGUAUACUGUCCGGAGUGGACAUAAAUGCCUUUUACAUAAUGGAUAGACUCAAAUACAACUAGAUUACAAAAUUUUUUACAAGAGAUUGUGGACCCUUGAUCUUCCUCCAAAAAUUAAAAUUACAAACUAGAGGAUUGAUAAACCGUAAUUUAAACAUAUUUUUAUCCGAUGCUUAACACAUUUAUGGAUGAUUUCUCCUUAGAUUUGGUGAAUUCGAUGCUUCUAAUUCUUUAAUUUCAUAUUUUAUACUUAAGUGAGCAUAGGAGAGUAAAAAGAGCGAGGAACGGGCUGAAAACGGAGAAAAUGGACCCAUAUGGGAAAUCAACAUAGCUUGAACUUCCUCACACGGGCGUGUCACACGGGCGUGUCUCUUUGGCAGGAUCGAAGCACGACUUACAUGGGUAGACUACACGCACAUUCCUAUUCAACAGCCUUGACCAUGGGCUGGAGUAAUAGCACAUGGGCGUGUCACACGGGCGUGUCCCUACCGAGAACAAGUAUAACCCUAUUUGGAAAAGGCCAAUUUGGAGGGCUUUUGGGCAUUCUAAAGCCUAUUUAAACACCUGAGGAGGCACUUAGGAAGGAGAGAUGCAGAGUAGGAGGCGAGGAAUUACUUAAGGGAAGCCGAUUGGUCCAUCUCAGAAGCCGGAUUCAUCAUUAAGACUGAAGAUCUCCCUUCAAUUUCCAUUCAGGGGUUUUGGGUUUUCUUUAUGUUUUGUAUUCAUUAUUCUUCUGAGAUGUUUUCUUCAAUAAUUAUGAACUAAACCCCCUAAAUACCUAAGGGGAAUGAAACCUAGGAUGAAUCUUGUUAUUAUUAUCUGAAUUGUAUGAUAAAUGUUUGACUUAUUCUUAAUUAUGUGUUCUUAAUUCUUGUUUUAAUAUUCCAGGAUAUUGAUUCGAGUUAAUGCUCUUAUUCAGAGGAGGAAUAGACCCUGUCUAAGAGUAAAUUUGUCAUAAUUAAGCGGAGUUGAUUCCAUGCCUAAAGAUAGGGUGAUAAGAUUUUGCCAAAUUAGGGUGAAACCUAGUAAGGGGAUCCAUAGAUCAAGUUAAUGCAACACUACGUGUUAAUUAGAAAGAGAUUUCAAUUAAUCAACCUAGGGUUAGACGUUAUUAGUCUUGAGAGAGAUAAUAAUAUAUCUUAGGUAUUUCUACGGAUCAAGUCAAAUGAAUAAAUCAUCUGAUUCAAAGUCAAAUAACAAGUGAAGUCUAGGUGGAUUUUUCCUUAGUUAUUGUCCUAAUCAAUCGAAUUUUCCUAAAAGCUUUUCCCCAAUUUCUCUCUAUGCACUCUUAGUUUAGUUAAUUAAUUUAGAUAAAUAAAUCCCUUAAUUUUUAGGCUAGAUAAUAAAAAGAAAGUAAUUACUAGUACUCUUGGUUCCUUUGGGUUCGAUAAUCCGGUCUUGCUAAAGCUAUACUACUAUUCGAUAGGUACACUUGUCUUCAUCGUGAUAAUAGUUAGUUUCAAGAAUUCUUAAUUAUAAAUUUUUAAAACCUGUCGCGAAUAUCAUGUGUCAAGGAUUGCUAGUAACUAUUUGCCUACUUUCAGUAACCUUCAUUAUAGAUGCUUGAUGGGAUCAGCUACUUGUCGAAGAUGUCAACAUGGAGGGGAAACACGGAAGCAUAUAUUCAGGGAGUGUCCUUCAGCAAAAGAGACACGGGAAAGCUUAGGGGUUUUUUCGCCUAACACAGAAGCAAGUACAGAUUUCAAUGAGUGGUUUAAAAAAUUGUUCCAAUCCUAUUCAUUGGCUAAGUGUAGGUUGAUAGCAUGCACUAUGUGGGCUUUAUGGACAUCAAGAAACAGAUUCAUUCAUGAAGGAGUUUCUACUUCUGGUUCUCAAAAUGCAGAUUAUGUUAAAAACUCCCUAAAAGAACUUGAUGGAGUGAAAACGGACUUACCAGCGAGGCCGAUUCUUACUGACAGAUGGGUUGCUCCGACUGGACCGAGGGUAAAAAUCAAUUUUGGCGCUACUUUUAACAAACAGAGGAAUGGGUCAUGUUUUGGAAUGGUAGUAAGAAAUGAAAAAGGAGAUGUGAUUUGCUCUAAAAUAGUGUUUCAUUCAAGUUUACCUUCUGUUUUUACUGCAGAAGCGUUGGCGGGUUUCUGGGCGAUUCAUCUCGGUUUAUUCCUUCAGUUAAGAGAGGUUGAAAUUGAAGGGGACUCUCGUUCAGUCAUCUGCAAACUGCAAGAGCAAAAGGAUGAUAGAUUAGAGAUCGUAGGUAUUAUAAAAGACUCUAAAAAACUGAGCUAUGGUAUUGUCUUUUGUAUUUUUCAUUUUACCCAUCGCGAAUCAAACCAAGUUGCUCACUUUAUUACUAUCGAGGGUCUUAAGAAAAGAGAAAACUCUUAUCUGGCGAAUAUGGUCUUUUCUGGCGCGGAGGAUGCGAUGCUUGCUGAUCGGAGGGGACUGGAGUUCAGGUGAAAAUGAAGAGCUGCUUGUGUGGUGAUUUUGGAUUUGGAAAAUGAAGGGUUAAGGGUUGUGCUGUUUUUUUUCCUUUUUUCUUCGGUGAUUUUGAUUGAUGUUGAUGCUUAUUCAGGGCAAGUAAUGAUGAAGCAACGUUUUCCAAUAAAUUUUGUUGUUUUUGAUGUGGGAUUCCAAUUUGGAUAAUAACAGGAUGGAAAUAUCUGGAGUCCCCCCACCUGUUGAGCUAGAUCUUUUGCUGAUGGGCUGCUAUGUAUUGUUCUUUUGUUUUGUUUUUUAUGUUUUGAUUUUGGGCUUGGUUUCCUUGAAC